UUUAUUUUAUUUCAACAUCGAAAUUAGAUUACAUUGAGUAAAACCAGAAGGUGUAGAUAGUGGUGAUUCCAAUCCCAUAGCUAAUGCUAGAAGAAAAUCAGAGUCUUUAUGGUAGUUGAAGAGAUACUGAAAAAAACUGAUGAGAUUCUCUUUAGUGUUGUUAUGCUCUAAACCAAGAAUAUCUUCAGCUCUGUCUUGUCCUCAUUAAGAGAUGAGAUCAGUUAAAUCAUUGAGUUGAAUCACAAUAACUUGUUUGUUCUUGUAAACUUCUUCUGUUUGCUAACACUAGUUUCAGAUGGAUCAUAUUUUGGAAACUCUAGUAUUUGAACUGAUUUGACAAUAACUUUCUAUUAAAUCCAAAUACUUAUUAGAUGAAAAACCGCCAGCUAAUUUCUGAAUGUCUUGGACUAAGUUCAGUUUCCAAAAAUCUGAUACAGAAAGUGUUUUUUCAAAUGAAGCCAAUAAUUGUAUUUUAGUAACUUGUAGAUUUUCAAAUUCACUUUUCUUUGUAUAUGGGGUAUAUACAAUUGUUUGGCUGAAGUGUGGAUACCUGUUAUAGAUUUUGAACACACAUUUUCUACUUGACAUUCAUGCCCUUGAGGUUUGCUCUUAUAAUUGGUUCUUUAGGCAGGAAGGUAAGAAAACGUAGUUGGGUGGUACCAUUCACACCCUGGUUAUGGUUGUUGUCUUUCUGUAUCGAUGUUUCAACGCAGAUGCUGAACCAUCAGCAUCAGGAGCCAUUUCUGGCUGUAGUGAUUGAUCAACUAAGAUAGUUUCAGCUGGAAAGGUUGAGAUAGGGGAAUUUAGAACAUAUCCGCCAACUGAUGAUCCUGUUUCAGAAUAUCAAACCAUCCCCUUGAACAAGAUCGAAGACUUCGUCGUACACUGUAAACAUGUUAUAUUAUUAUUGUUUUCAAAUUCGGUUAGAUUAGAGAUCUUUGAUACAUGCAUGUAUGUAUGUUUUAGAAUAUCUUGCUGAGUUUGUUUCUUGAUAUGCACUGGAUAUAACAUAUUUUAAAUCAUCACUUGACUGUCACAUCUUGGAUAUGUUAUGGAAUAAGUACAGGGUGAACACUCUUUCCUCGUCGCCUUUGCUGGGAAAUUGACACUAUUUAGCUGGACAAAUGUCUGAUUUGGCUGAAAAGCUAGAGCAAGCUGAAAAUUAUUUGUCACAUUCACGAUUUGGGCCUCUUAUAACUCUUUCUUUUUCAAGAAAGAAAGAGGAAGAAAAUAAACUUGCGAAAAUAACUAAGGACAAUGCAAAGAUAACGGUUGAGCAGAUUCACAAAUUAAUGUCACAGGUACUGCUGUCAUUUAUCAAUGCAUUGUGAUUUUAGUUGGAAGGAUGGAUCGAUUUGAGUUGUAAUCUUUGUUGAUUGACAAGGGAACUGUCGAGACAUCUUUCAUAAAGGGUGGCUAGUCAAAAUUCGCGCCAAUCUUUCUUAUUCCCAUCUGCAACAAGUGUUCAAGCAUGUGGGGCUUUGGGUUGUUGUUGGCGCCAUAUCCCGCAUCAGGAUCGUCAAGGAAGCUACUUGUCAAUUUAUGACCCGUCUGCCCUACCAUUUCAGGUAGAGCAAACAAUGAUGCACUUGAAAAUGGAAUAUUUGUUGAGUUCAGAAGACAACAAAGAUGAUAAUCUCGUCUACCAUUAGAAUAGUUGGCG